rnacentral:rRNA from 1 species
UACGUAGGGUGCAAGCGUUAUUCGGAAUUACUGGGCGUAAAGCGUGCGCAGGCGGUUUUGUAAGACCGAUGUGAAAUCCCCGGGCUUAACCUGGGAACUGCAUUGGUGACUGUAAGGCUUGAGUGUGUCAGAGGGAGGUGGAAUUCCGCGUGUAGCAGUGAAAUGCGUAGAUAUGCGGAGGAACACCAACGGCGAAGGCAGCUCGCUGGGACGGUACUGACGCUGAGACGCGAAAGCGUGGGGAGCGAACAGG